CAGGGAUUGCCCUAGUAACGGCGAGUGAAGCGGCAACAGCUCAAAUUUGAAAUCUGGCGUCUUCGGCGUCCGAGUUGUAAUUUGCAGAGGGCGCUUUGGCAUUGGCAGCGGUCCAAGUUCCUUGGAACAGGACGUCACAGAGGGUGAGAAUCCCGUACGUGGUCGCUAGCCUUUACCGUGUAAAGCCCCUUCGACGAGUCGAGUUGUUUGGGAAUGCAGCUCUAAAUGGGAGGUAAAUUUCUUCUAAAGCUAAAUACUGGCCAGAGACCGAUAGCGCACAAGUAGAGUGAUCGAAAGAUGAAAAGCACUUUGGAAAGAGAGUUAAAAAGCACGUGAAAUUGUUGAAAGGGAAGCGCUUGCAGCCAGACUUGCCUGUAGUUGCUCAUCCGGGUUUCUACCCGGUGCACUCUUCUAUAGGCAGGCCAGCAUCAGUUUGGGCGGUUGGAUAAAGGUCUCUGUCAUGUACCUCCUCUCGGGGAGAACUUAUAGGGGAGACGACAUGCAACCAGCCUGGACUGAGGUCCGCGCAUCUGCUAGGAUGCUGGCGUAAUGGCUGUAAGCGGCCCGUCUUGAAACACGGACCAAGGAGUCUAACAUCUAUGCGAGUGUUUGGGUGUCAAGCCCGAGCGCGUAAUGAAAGUGAACGGAGGUGGGAACCUUUCGGGGUGCACCAUCGACCGAUCCUGAUGUCUUCGGAUGGAUUUGAGUAAGAGCAUAGCUGUUGGGACCCGAAAGAUGGUGAACUAUGCUUGAAUAGGGUGAAGCCAGAGGAAACUCUGGUGGAGGCUCGCAGCGGUUCUGACGUGCAAAUCGAUCGUCAAAUUUGGGCA
rnacentral:rRNA from 1 species